rnacentral:tRNA from 1 species
GGUCCUAUAGUCUAGUGGUUAGGACGUUGGAUUUUGAUCACCUAUCAAAAGCAUCUUCCGAAGUCCCCGGUUCGAACCCGGGUAGGACCU